rfam:Eubacteriaceae bacterium CHKCI004 isolate CHKC4 genome assembly, contig: {contig71}
GUGUCCGUAGCUCAGCUGGAUAGAGCAACGGCCUUCUAAGCCGUGGGUCGGGGGUUCGAAUCCCUUCGGGCACG